rnacentral:rRNA from 1 species
GACGAACGCUGGCGGCGUGCCUAAUACAUGCAAGUCGAGCGAGCGGAACUAACAGAUUUACUUCGGUAAUGACGUUAGGAAAGCGAGCGGCGGAUGGGUGAGUAACACGUGGGGAACCUGCCCCAUAGUCUGGGAUACCACUUGGAAACAGGUGCUAAUACCGGAUAAGAAAGCAGAUCGCAUGAUCAGCUUUUGAAAGGCGGCGUAAGCUGUCGCUAUGGGAUGGCCCCGCGGUGCAUUAGCUAGUUGGUAAGGUAAAGGCUUACCAAGGCGAUGAUGCAUAGCCGAGUUGAGAGACUGAUCGGCCACAUUGGGACUGAGACACGGCCCAAACUCCUACGGGAGGCAGCAGUAGGGAAUCUUCCACAAUGGACGCAAGUCUGAUGGAGCAACGCCGCGUGAGUGAAGAAGGUUUUCGGAUCGUAAAGCUCUGUUGUUGGUGAAGAAGGAUAGAGGUAGUAACUGGCCUUUAUUUGACGGUAAUCAACCAGAAAGUCACGGCUAACUACGUGCCAGCAGCCGCGGUAAUACGUAGGUGGCAAGCGUUGUCCGGAUUUAUUGGGCGUAAAGCGAGCGCAGGCGGAAGAAUAAGUCUGAUGUGAAAGCCCUCGGGCUAGACGAAGGAGAGGGCAUCGGAAAACUGUUUUUUUUCAGUGCAGAAGAAGGAGAGUGGAACUCCAUGGGUAGGCGGGGAAUGCGUAGAUAUAUGGAAGAACACCAGUGGCGAAGGCGGCUCUCUGGUCUGCAACUGACGCUGAGGCUCGAAAGCAUGGGUAGCGAACAGGAUUAGAUACCCUGGUAGUCCAUGCCGUAAACGAUGAGUGCUAAGUGUUGGGAGGUUUCCGCCUCUCAGUGCUGCAGCUAACGCAUUAAGCACUCCGCCUGGGGAGUACGACCGCAAGGUUGAAACUCAAAGGAAUUGACGGGGGCCCGCACAAGCGGUGGAGCAUGUGGUUUAAUUCGAAGCAACGCGAAGAACCUUACCAGGUCUUGACAUCUAGUGCCAUUUGUAGAGAUACAAAGUUCCCUUCGGGGACGCUAAGACAGGUGGUGCAUGGCUGUCGUCAGCUCGUGUCGUGAGAUGUUGGGUUAAGUCCCGCAACGAGCGCAACCCUUGUUAUUAGUUGCCAGCAUUAAGUUGGGCACUCUAAUGAGACUGCCGGUGACAAACCGGAGGAAGGUGGGGAUGACGUCAAGUCAUCAUGCCCCUUAUGACCUGGGCUACACACGUGCUACAAUGGGCGGUACAACGAGAAGCGAGCCUGCGAAGGCAAGCGAAUCUCUGAAAGCUGUUCUCAGUUCGGACUGCAGUCUGCAACUCGACUGCACGAAGCUGGAAUCGCUAGUAAUCGCGGAUCAGCACGCCGCGGUGAAUACGUUCCCGGGCCU